rnacentral:lncRNA from 1 species
GGUCUUUUUUGUUGAACAUUUUCUCUGGCUUGUUUGAAGUCCAAUAUUACCAAUGAAGACACAAAAGGAAGAAGAUAACUGAGUACUUCCUGAUCUCUAUGUCCUUUGUCAUCAGACCCCCACGUCCAUGCUGCAGUAGUUCCCAUAUUUUUCUUAGUCUUCCUUUUGCUGAUAAUGUAUCUGUAGAAACUCUUAUUGUUUCUCACAGUGCCUGACGGAUUCAUUCUAGAUGGACUUUGGCAUUUGUAACUGUAUCUGCAUAUUCAGAUGAUGUGAUUAUAUUCCUCCUCUUUCACCUGUCCCUGCUUCCACUCCUUGUAAAAUUUGAGUUUAGUCAGGAACAUUUUGUUCAUCCACGUAGACAUCUUGCUGCCAUUGCUUGACUACGUGAAUGUGGAAUAAACUAUUUCUGACCUUGGAGGAGGUGAUCCUUAAAAAUCAACAAAGUCUCCUGGAGUCCUCUUAUCUCCAGCAUUAAUUCCCUUGGGAUUCUGUCAGACAGACCCUGGAAGGUGACAGGCCAAAGUCUGUUCUCAUAAUGUCCAUAAUUUUGAUCCUGUUUCUUGCCCCGAUCUCUCAAAAUCCUGACAUCCAUCAUCUGCAGUCCUUGCUGCACCCAGACUUCACAUCCUCAGCUACGUUUUCCUUGUAAGUAUGAUGUUUAGUAGAUAUCAGGGAGUUUCAGGUCCUCAUGCUGACAUGAGCUUGCAAUUGUGAAGCUUCUUUCAGAUGUCUGAAGACUACUUGCAAUUGGAGUAUGCCAGAAAAAUUACAAACUUUCCAUUAGAUCACAAAUAUUAUUUAAUCUUCAUUACAGCAUCUUUUAAUCUUGAUUCACUUAGAAGCGUUAUUCAAUAAUUUAAAAAUAAAGUAGAAUUGUACUCUGCAUAUAAAAUAAUAAAUAUGUAUUUCUUUUCAGAUUUUUGCUACUGAAUCAUUGCUGAACAUUGCAAAGAGAAUAACAGCUAAAUAUCUUUCCAGCUGGAUUUCAAGACUUUUACUUGUCUGAUUAGCCUAAUAAGAUUUAAACUUUUUAAGGGUGCUGAACAAUAUUCAUUACCUCAGAAUGAGCAAUACAGUACAAUGACUGAAGUGAGCUGGUGCACAGUUUUGUUUUGAAACAUUUCAAACUGUUUAGUUUCUUCAAAAUGGAUAGCCAUUUUGGAUAACCUUAUUAAUGAGCGUGUUUUUGUUUUGUUUUUCUGCAAGUUUUGAAGAAAAUCUGCUUGACAUU